rnacentral:rRNA from 1 species
CUACGUGCCAGCAGCCGCGGUAAUACGGAAGGUCCGGGUGUUAUCCGGAUUUAUUGGGUUUAAAGGGAGCGUAGGCCGGAGAUUAAGUGUGUUGUGAAAUGUAGACGCUCAACGUCUGACUUGCAGCGCAUACUGGUUUCCUUGAGUACGCACAACGUUGGCGGAAUUCGUCGUGUAGCGGUGAAAUGCUUAGAUAUGACGAAGAACUCCGAUUGCGAAGGCAGCUGACGGGAGCGCAACUGACGCUUAAGCUCGAAGGUGCGGGUAUCGAACAGGAUUAGAUACCCUGGUAGUCCGCACAGUAAACGAUGGAUGCCCGCUGUUGGUACCUGGUAUCAGCGGCUAAGCGAAAGCAUUAAGCAUCCCACCUGGGGAGUACGCCGGCAACGGUGAAACUCAAAGGAAUUGACGGGGGCCCGCACAAGCGGAGGAACAUGUGGUUUAAUUCGAUGAUACGCGAGGAACCUUACCCGGGCUUGAAUUGCAGAGGAAGGAUUUAGAGAUAAUGACG